CAGCAGCCACGGGAAUACGGAGGGAGCUAGCGUUGUUCGGAAUUACUGGGCGUAAAGCGCGCGUAGGCGGUUACUCAAGUCAGAGGUGAAAGCCCGGGGCUCAACCCCGGAACUGCCUUUGAAACUAGGUGACUAGAAUCUUGGAGAGGUCAGUGGAAUUCCGAGUGUAGAGGUGAAAUUCGUAGAUAUUCGGAAGAACACCAGUGGCGAAGGCGACUGACUGGACAAGUAUUGACGCUGAGGUGCGAAAGCGUGGGGAGCAAACAGGAUUAGAUACCCCUGUAGUCUCUGUCUCUUAUAA
rnacentral:rRNA from 1 species